UACGAAGGGGGCUAGCGUUGCUCGGAAUUACUGGGCGUAAAGGACGCGUAGGCGGAUACUUAAGUCGGGGGUGAAAGCCCAGGGCUCAACCCUGGAAUAGCCUUCGAUACUGGGUAUCUUGAGUUCGGGAGAGGUGAGUGGAACUCCGAGUGUAGAGGUGAAAUUCGUAGAUAUUCGGAAGAACACCAGUGGCGAAGGCGACUCACUGGCCCGAUACUGACGCUGAGGCGCGAAAGCGUGGGGAGCAAACAGG
rnacentral:rRNA from 1 species